UACGUAGGAGGCAAGCGUUGUCCGGAGUUACUGGGCGUAAAGCGCACGCAGGCGGUCUCUUUAGUCUGUAGGGACAGGGCACAGCUUAACUGUGUCAGGCUUACGGAAACUGGGAGACUUGAGGGCUUCAGAGGGAUGGGGAAUUCCGGGUGGAGUGGUGAAAUGCGUAGAGAUCCGGAAGAACACCAAAGGCGAAGGCACCAUCCUGGGGAGUCACUGACGCUCGGGUGCGAAAGCCAGGGGAGCGAACGGG
rnacentral:rRNA from 1 species